GAUGAAGAACGUAGCGAAAUGCGAUAAGUAAUGUGAAUUGCAGAAUUCAGUGAAUCAUCGAAUCUUUGAACGCACAUUGCGCCCGCCAGUAUUCUGGCGGGCAUGCCUGUCCGAGCGUCAUUUCAACCCUCGAACCCCUCCGGGGGGUCGGCGUUGGGGAUCGGCCCUCCCUUAGCGGGUGGCCGUCUCCGAAAUACAGUGGCGGUCUCGCCGCAGCCUCUCCUGCGCAGUAGUUUCCACACUCGCAUCGGGAGCGCGGCGCGUCCACAGCCGUUAAACACCCAACUUCUGAAAUGUUGACCUCGGAUCAGGUAGGAAUACCCGCUGAACUUAAGCAUAUCAAUAAGCGGAGGA
rnacentral:misc_RNA from 1 species